UGGGGAAUAUUGCACAAUGGGCGCAAGCCUGAUGCAGCCAUGCCGCGUGUAUGAAGAAGGCCUUCGGGUUGUAAAGUACUUUCAGCGGGGAGGAAGGGAGUAAAGUUAAUACCUUUGCUCAUUGACGUUACCCGCAGAAGAAGCACCGGCUAACUCCGUGCCAGCAGCCGCGGUAAUACGGAGGGUGCAAGCGUUAAUCGGAAUUACUGGGCGUAAAGCGCACGCAGGCGGUUUGUUAAGUCAGAUGUGAAAUCCCCGGGCUCAACCUGGGAACUGCAUCUGAUACUGGCAAGCUUGAGUCUCGUAGAGGGGGGUAGAAUUCCAGGUGUAGCGGUGAAAUGCGUAGAGAUCUGGAGGAAUACCGGUGGCGAAGGCGGCCCCCUGGACGAAGACUGACGCUCAGGUGCGAAAGUGUGGGGAGCAAACA
rnacentral:rRNA from 1 species